GGCGAACGGGUGAGUAACACGUGGGUAAUCUGCCCUACACUCUGGGAUAAGCCUGGGAAACUGGGUCUAAUACUGGAUAUGACCUUUCUCCUUAUGGGGUUUGGUGGAAAGUUUUUCGGUGUAGGAUGAGCCCGCGGCCUAUCAGCUUGUUGGUGGGGUGAUGGCCUACCAAGGCGACGACGGGUAGCCGGCCUGAGAGGGUGAUCGGCCACAUUGAGACUGAGAUACGGCCCAG
rnacentral:rRNA from 1 species